ACUGCCACUAGAGGCGUUGCAGCGCGGUUGUUUGUAUCGUGUCUGUGUCAUUAGAUGGCGGAGAUGGAUGUGUCAUUUGUCUCCCAGUGCCCUUGCAUUCAUUCGGGCAUUCUGAGACUUGUGUCGCUACAUU